UGUGGGAGCGAGCCUGCUCGCGAUGGCGGUGCCUCUGCCGAUGAUGCAUCGACUGUCAGACUGCUAUCGCGAGCAGGCUCGCUCCCACC
rnacentral:sRNA from 1 species